GCGCCUGUAGCUCAGGGGAUAGAGCAACGGACUUCUAAUCCGUGGGUCGUAGGUUCGAUUCCUACCAGGCGCGCCA
rnacentral:tRNA from 1 species